rnacentral:tRNA from 1 species
GCAAAACAGGGUAAGCACAAUGAACAUAUCGACAUCUGCCCUCCGAAGGCAAAGGUCACACGUUCGAAUCGUGUCGGGUGCGCCA